AUACGGAGGGUGCAAGCGUUAAUCGGAAUCACUGGGCGUAAAGCGCGCGUAGGCCGCUUUGUAAGUCGGACGUGAAAGCCCUCGGCUCAACCGGGGAACUGCGUUCGAUACUGCGAGGCUUGAGUCCUGGAGAGGGUGGCGGAAUUCCGGGUGUAGGAGUGAAAUCCGUAGAUAUCCGGAGGAACACCGGUGGCGAAGGCGGCCACCUGGACAGGUACUGACGCUGAGGCGCGAAAGCGUGGGGAGCAAACAGGAUUAGAUACCCUGGUAGUCCACGCCGUAAACGAUGGAUGCUAGGUGUCGGGGAGCGAUCCUCGGUGCCGGAGUUAACGCAUUAAGCAUCCCGCCUGGGGAGUACGGUCGCAAGGCUGAA
rnacentral:rRNA from 1 species